UUUUUUAUACUUUAAAUUUUAGAAGAUCUAUUUUGCAGAUAGAAAGUAACUUUUGGGUUUUAAAACAA
rnacentral:tRNA from 1 species